UCCCCACGGCGAGCCUCUCCUCCCCACCGCGCGAGAGCCUUCCGUUUCGCCGGCGGCGCUUAGGUUCGCCCGCAGCGGCUCGAUUGGAAGCGCGGGUUGGCAUGUCCGCGAGAGAGAUGGACUGGGGAAGAAGGUCGUGGGGCCAUGGUGUGGUGGCUAGUGGCGAGGACAGGGGCGGCCGGCGAGCUGCGAGGCGGUGGCGGUGUCUGGGGAGGAACCAGCAGCCUCUUCGUCUCCUAGGCCUCUGCCUCGAUGUCGUCUUCUCCACCAGAUCUUCGUCCAGGACAUGGUGGUGGUGGAUCCAACCCGACCAGGGGUCCUCAUGUUGUCUUCUCCACCGGAUCCAACAAAUUGCUACUGGGAAAGUCGGAGCCAGAUCCGCAGAUUUUUCGUGAGAUUUUUCUCCUGCUGCUGUUGAUUGAUUUGGAAGCUUACUUUACUUCAGAUAGGAGAGCUACAGUAGGAACUUGGGAGAUUCGAUUUGGUCAACGUGAAGGUAGCUUCUCCAUUCCUGUUUGUAUGCAUUUUGUUCAUCUUUAUUAAUCCUUGUCCAACUCAUUGUGAAGAUAUGUGCAUGUUCUUUUUCUGGACAACUGAGUCAGUGAAAUAUAUAGUUAAAUAGUUGGUGAUCUUUACUGUGGUAACCACUCAAAACCUCUCUAUGAAGUUAGAUUUGAGCAUUUUCCAGUGAUUGUUGUUACGUAACGACCAUCUUAGUUAACCAUGUUAGACUUACAAUCUGAUUUUUUUUCAUGUAUAUUAUUUGACAAA